rnacentral:lncRNA from 1 species
UCUUCUUGUUACACAUUGCAAAUGUUUCGGCCAUCUCUUCUAUGAAAGUGUGCAGAUGUGAUCCACAGACUGCAAACUUUUUGUCACUGAAAAAACAAAUAACGCUUAAAUUCUCGUAUUUAAAGAAAACCCCUCAGAAGAAAAUUUGUACUUUAGGUGGCCAUUUUAGUCAAAAAUUACCACUUCAAGUAGCAAGCAAGUGGUGAAUCUAGUCUGAUUCACAAAAUUUAAAUCAUGCCAACAAGUGGCGAUUUAUAGCUUUGUCCAAAGUUCUUCCGAAGAUUUUCCAAAAUAUCAAAUUGUUGUGUAUCGGAGACACUAUGUGUCACCUAAAAACAACAUAUACAACAUUUACAAUUAAAGACUAAAUAUUUUACACAUUUUUAAAAUUUAAAGGAUUAAAGAUUUAACAAUUAUUAUAUCUAUUUUGACCUUUUAAAGCCUAAUUGAACAUUGUAACUGUAACUUAUACAAAAAGUCAAUAAUACCUUGUUAGGGUUUUUAAAAUUUAUUGUCAUACAUUAUGAAAAAACAACAAUAUAUGAAAUAAAUUAACAACUUAUUUUCGUCAGAAAAAUAUGACAAUGAAAAAGUUGAAACGGACCGACUAUCUUCAAAAAUUUUAUAAAAAUUUUAGUGAGUUUCCAUGGCUGUUCAUCAUGGAUUUUAUAAAAUUUUUGAAGAUAGUUUAUUGCAUGUUUUCAUUUUAGUUAGACUCACAAUUUACAUUGUGUUCAAUAGUUAAUCUUGAGUGCCAAAAAAUAACAUUGACAUGUGCAAUUUUACCACAAUUAAAAUAUUAGCCUACAUAUGGAUGGUUAUGAUUAAUAUCUUAAUUAUUUCAUUGUUGAAUUAUGAUUCAAGAGAUAGAUUGAUUAACAAAUUGAAGAAAAUAAUAAACAAAAUUAAGAAGAACCUUGUCAAUAUAAAAGGUAGCAUGACAUGUUAAGAGAGUUAAGUUACUUGAAUACUGUAUGAGGUUAGUCAUAUUCUUAGCACAAAAUUAUCAAUACAAGUCCGUGAUUACUUUUUGAAAAUGAAACCGAAAAAUAUAAAGGAUCCCAAUAAGGGGACCAUUGGAACCCAAGAAAUAAGAUGAACAAUAUGGUUUUCCAUUCACAUCCCCAUUCUUUCUCACUUGUUAAAUCAUGUGUUAUAGUAUAUGCAUUAAAGUAAAUUGCACUUUUGGUCCAUGUCCUAUAUUAAUUAUUUAUGUAUUAUCCAAAGGGGACGAUUUUGCAUUUCUGAUUCCUAGUUCAUUCUAUAAAACUCUGUUCAUAAGGCGUAUUGAAGGAAAUAACCAUUUUCUUCUUGUCUUAUUCAUUUUCUUCAUCACAUUCGUCUUCUUCCUAUAUUACCCUAAAAUCUAGCCCACAAAGAGGUGUUUUCUUCAUCACAUUCGUCUUCUUCCUAUAUUACCCUAAAAUCUAGCCCGCAAAGAGGUGUUACUGAAAAAUGUGGAUUUUAAGGCCUUCAUAUUUUGGAUUUGUAUUUGUUGGAUGAAGAAAGAGAUGAUUUGUUUUGGUCUAUUUUAGGGUUUUGUAGGAAGAAAGAGCAUGUUUGUUCAAAUGUAGAAUUAUGUAUAACCCUACUCGUGCCAUCAUCCCACCUAAAUUAUCAACUGAACUCCUUGAUAACUUUUCCAUUAAAAACCAAAUAUGAGCAACAUGAACUUGACACCUAAAGAAACUAAAUCCGACUGGUAGUAUGAUUUUGAUUAACUUGGGUUGAGUUUAUGUGAAGUUACUUGACAACCGAAGGAGACUCCUACAUCGUAAGCGCGAUAAUCAAAAGUCAAAGAGAAUUCGGUUGGAGCAUUCCAACUACAAUGUUGUUUAUAGGAUUCGAUGAAGAUAUACAUAGGUAAAUUUUCUUUUCCGCAAUUGAAACUUAUGAGUGAGGAUGAAGUUUAAAGCCAAUAAGCAAUGGGUGGUGUGACUCGUGUGAAAAAAGAUCUUGAGGAGGAAGCGAAAAUACAUGCAGCGAGACCCGUGAAUUCUUAAAACAUUUUUUGCAAAUUAGUAAUGGCAUGUGAUGAUGCUCUUUGUCGUUGCCACAAUCUUCAAUCCCCCUAAUAAAUAAAGAACUCUUUGCCACAUGUCCUCUUCUCCUUCAUUUGGACACAUGACAUUUUCUAGAAUUUUUGAAUUUUCUAUUUUCCACUUGUCAUGUUAUUGUAUUUUUCAUUUUAUUAAAUUAAAAUUCCACAUUUAAUAUGUAUGGUAAUAUAUAUGUAAGGUAUUUAUUAAAAAAUGUUUAUUUAUAUAAUGUAUUCAAUACAUUAAAG